rnacentral:lncRNA from 1 species
AUGGAAUCCCCAGGAAACUUUGAAUCACUCUAUGAAUUCUGCCCUUGACACUGUUCAGUUUUCUUGAUGAGAUGGUUUGACACAGGAAAUUUUAGAUUAAGUAAAAAGGUCUCCUUCUCAAGUCCCCUGGUCUGUCUUGCCCAUGCCAUAGACGCAUGUCUCCUAUGCAGGAUGCACUUUAGAGGGGGAAAAAAUCAUUUAAAAAAAAAAAAGAGCUUUUAAGUAGUCAUGCCUUGAAUUACUCUUUCUGCUGGAUGGUUAUGAGAGAAAAUUCUUCCUGCCAUUGGGAUGUUGAGAAACAGUGUUUGCUAAUUAUGGUGUCCAUGUUGAGCACCUGUCCCCCUACCAACCUCCCCCUGCCCUGAACUGCCCUCCGGAAAUGCAAACAGUGAAACAGUAUUACCGUAUCUCUCUCAGUGAAACUGCUGGAGUACGUGCCUUAUAUUCCUCUUUUGCUCAGGCUGACUGUUCUGUUGCCAUCUAGGAUCCUUUCCGAAUGAGAGCUGGCAAAGGUAGUUUGAAGCCAGAGGGAGGUGAUGGAGGGAACAGGGACCAGGAGAAGGAGGAGACAGUUUGGAAGAAACUAUCUGGCUUCUAAUUUGUUUUUUUACAAUAUUGUCCUUCCCUAUUAAAACAUAUUUAUUCACAAUAAUUUUAAAAUGUGAAUCUUUAAAAGUCCGAUGGUGAUCAAUUUGUGAACAUCACUAAUGAUAACUUUCCAGACUCUCUGGGACUCUCUGGAGCUGGAGAUUGGAGAGAACAAUUCUUCACAAUUAAAUAAGGCAAUGAUUUUGAGAGGCAAAGCAAAUAAAUCUUUCUCAGACUAGAACAGAAAGUCACAAAAGGCAUAAUUAGAAAUAAAUACUACUUGAGUUUACGGG